rnacentral:tRNA from 1 species
GCCGCGUUAGCAUAGUGGUUAUUGCGUCGCACUUGUAUCAACUCAUGCGAAGGUCACUUGUUCAACUCAGGUACGUGGCA